rnacentral:rRNA from 1 species
UACAGAGGUCUCAAGCGUUGUUCGGAUUCAUUGGGCGUAAAGGGUGCGUAGGCGGCGCGGUAAGUCGGGUGUGAAAUCUCGGGGGCUUAACUCCGAAACUGCAUUCGAUACUGCCGUGCUUGAGGACUGGAGAGGAGACUGGAAUUUUACGGUGUAGCGGUGAAAAUGCGUAGAUAUCGUAAGGAAGACCAGUGGCGAAGGCGGGGUCUCUGGACA